rnacentral:rRNA from 1 species
CUUGAACGAUGGCGGCAGGCCUCACACAUUCAAUUCGAGCGGAGCGGCGGAAGGGUGAGUAAUGCCUAGGAAUAUGACUGGAAGUGGGGGAUAACGUCCGGAAACGGGCGCUAAUACAGCAUACUAUCAGGUGAGACUAGGUCGGAUUAGCUAGUUGGUGGGGUAAAGGCCUACCAAGGCGACGAUCCGUAACUGGUCGGAGAGGAGGAUCCUGCACACUGUAACUGUGACACGGUCCAGACGCCGACGUGAGGCAGCAGUGGGGAAUAGUGGACAAGUGGCGAAAGCCUGAUCCAGCCAUGCCGCUUGUGUGAAGAAGGUCUUCGGAGUGUAAAGCACUUUAAGUUGGGAGGCGUUACCAACAGAAUAAGCACCGUCUAACUUCGUGAAAGCAGCCGCGGUAAUAC